rnacentral:rRNA from 1 species
CACGUAGGGGGCAAGCGUUGUCCGGAUUUAUUGGGCGUAAAGAGCUCGUAGGCGGCUUGUUGCGUCGGCUGUGAAAACCCGUGGCUUAACUGCGGGCUUGCAGCUGAUACGGGCGGGCUGGAGUUCGGUAGGGGAGACUGGAAUUCCUGGUGUAGCGGUGAAAUGCGCAGAUAUCAGGAGGAACACCGGUGGCGAAGGCGGGUCUCUGGGCCGAUACUGACGCUGAGGAGCGAAAGCGUGGGGAGCGAACAGG